AUGUUGAAAAAAACAACUAUAUUAAAAUUGGAAUGAUACAGUGAAGAUUAGCAUGGUACUACCCAAGGAUAACAUGCAAAUUUGUGAGGUAUUCCAUAUUUUA